GAUGAACGCUGGCGGCGUGCCUAAUACAUGCAAGUCGAGCGAACGGACGAGAAGCUUGCUUCUCUGAUGUUAGCGGCGGACGGGUGAGUAACACGUGGAUAACCUACCUAUAAGACUGGGAUAACUUCGGGAAACCGUAGCUAAUACCGGAUAAUAUUUUGAACCGCAUGGUUCAAAAGUGAAAGACGGUCUUGCUGUCACUUAUAGAUGGAUCCGCGCUGCAUUAGCUAGUUGGUAAGGUAACGGCUUACCAAGGCAACGAUGCAUAGCCGACCUGAGAGGGUGAUCGGCCACACUGGAACUGAGACACGGUCCAGACUCCUACGGGAGGCAGCAGUAGGGAAUCUUCCGCAAUGGGCGAAAGCCUGACGGAGCAACGCCGCGUGAGUGAUGAAGGUCUUCGGAUCGUAAACCUCUGUUAUUAGGGAAGAACAUAUGUGUAAGUAAAUGUGCACAUCUUGACGGUACCUAAUCAGAAAGCCACGGCUAACUACGUG
rnacentral:rRNA from 1 species